ACUCCUACGGGAGGCAGCAGUGGGGAAUAUUGCACAAUGGGCGCAAGCCUGAUGCAGCCAUGCCGCGUGUGUGAAGAAGGCCUUCGGGUUGUAAAGCACUUUCAGUUGUGAGGAAGGUGGUGUCGUUAAUAGCGGCAUCAUUUGACGUUAGCAACAGAAGAAGCACCGGCUAACUCCGUGCCAGCAGCCGCGGUAAUACGGAGGGUGCGAGCGUUAAUCGGAAUUACUGGGCGUAAAGAGCUCGUAGGUGGUUUGUCGCGUUGUUCGUGAAAACCUGAGGCUUAACCUUGGGCGUGCGGGCGAUACGGGCAGACUGGAGUACUGCAGGGGAGACUGGAAUUCCUGGUGUAGCGGUGGAAUGCGCAGAUAUCAGGAGGAACACCGGUGGCGAAGGCGGGUCUCUGGGCAGUAACUGACGCUGAGGAGCGAAAGCGUGGGGAGCGAACAGGAUUAGAUACCCUGGUAGCGAGUAG
rnacentral:rRNA from 1 species